rnacentral:rRNA from 1 species
GAUGAACGCUGGCGGCGUGCCUAAUACAUGCCAGUCGAGCGAACGGACGAGAAGCUUGCUUCGCUGAUGUUAGCGGCGGACGGGUGAGUAACACGUGGAUAACCUACCGAUAAGACUGGGAUAACUUCGGGAAACCGGAGCUAAUACCGGAUGAUAGUUUGAACCGCAUGGUUCAAAAGUGAAAGACGGUCUUGCUGUCACUUCUAGAUGGAUCCGCGCUGCAGUGGCUAGUUGGUAAGGUAACGGCUUACCAAGGCAACGAUGCCUAGCCGAGCUGAGAGGGGGUACCGCCACACUGGAACUGUGACGCGGUCCUGGCUCCUAGGGGCGGCACAGGUACGUAAGCGUGGGCAAUGGGCGGAAGCUUGCCGGAUCGGCGCCGGGCUGGUGAAGCGGGUCUGCGUGUCGUAUGACGCCGUUCUUGGUGAAGACCCCUUUUGUAAGGGACUGUGCGCUAUGUGACGGUACCUAGUGAGGAAGCCCCGGCUAACUACGUG